UACGAAGGGGGCUAGCGUUGCUCGGAAUCACUGGGCGUAAAGCGCACGUAGGCGGAUUGUUAAGUCAGGGGUGAAAUCCUGGAGCUCAACUCCAGAACUGCCUUUGAUACUGGCGAUCUUGAGUCCGGGAGAGGUGAGUGGAACUGCGAGUGUAGAGGUGAAAUUCGUAGAUAUUCGCAAGAACACCAGUGGCGAAGGCAGAUCUCUGGGACGUAACUGGACGCUGAGACGCGAAAGCGUGGGGAGCAAACAGGG
rnacentral:rRNA from 1 species